rnacentral:rRNA from 1 species
UACGGAGGGUGCGAGCGUUGUCCGGAAUCAUUGGGCGUAAAGGGCGCGUAGGUGGCCCGGUCAGUUCGUGGUGAAAGCGCGGGGCUCAACUCCGCGUCGGCCAUGAAUACUGCUGGGCUUGAGCACUGUAGAGGCAGGCGGAAUUCCGGGUGUAGCGGUGGAAUGCGUAGAGAUCCGGAAGAACACCGGUGGCGAAGGCGGCCUGCU